AAAGAAUCUGAACUGCUUUGUCUAGAAAAAGGAAAGAGUAUAUACUAGAAGGUGGGAUCUCUGUUAAAGAUUCUAAGGCAGUAAAGAAUGCUUUGUGAGUGUCUGACACCACGAGUCAAUACACUUACAUAAAUGUGUGAAGACAAAUGCUUGCUUUGGGGUGGCUGGCUCAAUCAAUGCACAACUGGGCAUACUAUUGUGAAGAGCAAGGAUAUAGUCUGUGGGUCACUGUAUAUAAAAAAAUGAGGCAAACAUGUUGAGGCUUUUUGCUUGCUUGAAUUACAGAUCAAGUGAGCAGAAAAAUAGCUCAUCCUCCCCAAUUAUCUUGCUGUCUUUGGGUUUCUAUAUCCACGUGCUUGGAAGCUUCUUAUUGCAUCAUAGUAUGAGUUGGAUUCCACACUAGUUCCAAAGUACUGUGUGCUGAACUGGCUUGGAAAGAAGUUGGUAUGUGUCAUGUAGUAAGGAGGGGAGUAAUCUAUCAAAGUAUAAUCAAGAAAAGUGAAGAUUGCCUAUUGUUUAAUUCUGCAAAAUAAGUAUCUUUAAUGUUUUCUGUUUACUUUUUCUGUCAAUUACUGAUGUGAGUGUUACACUCUCCAACUAUAGUCAUGAUCUGUUUUCAGUUUUCUCGGUUUUUGCUUCAUCUAGUUUGAAGCUUUUAUUAGCUGGAGACCCAAAGGAGAUACAGGCCCAGCUUUAACCAUACAGGCAACAAAAGUGCCCUAGGAAACAACAGAGCAAGAAAUUGGAAAGAACCUGGGUGAUUGUAAAUGGCACACCCUGGACUCUUAGAUGGCGCUGUGAGAACAACCCAGGAUUGGAGCUCGCGUUGAAUCCGCAAACGGACUUGUCUAUUGAGAAACAGCAACGCUGGCAACCAUUUACUACCAACAAGAGGCAGUUCCAAGAGAAGAAUAUAAAAUAUGCUCUGCUCAACCCCACGAAACUCAGAGUGUCUCACAAUGGCCAAUUUAUUAUUUUUACCCUGUCCAGUGACAUGGAAGGAUGCAUCAGGGAGCUGCUAGCCUCUGCGAUGAAUAACUUAAGUCAGGCUGCAACAUGUGAAAUAAUUCAGCUGACCAGGAUUUAUAACACUAGCUGGAUUUUUUGCUUUCUUUGGGGUUCAUGAAGCAUGGUGUUGUGAGAUACCACAGGAGUCCUGGAGUGAAGUUACAUGCCUAUUUCUCUUCCUUUAUUUUUUGGUAUUUUCAUAUUAUUUUAUUGCCUACUCCAAAUGUCUUCCUAAGCAGGGUCCAGCCUCCUAGGGGACACGUCUCUUCUGAUUUUGAAAAUUAGA
rnacentral:lncRNA from 1 species